GUCACUGUGGCACAAUUGGUUAGCGCGCGUUCGGCUGUUUACCGAAAGGAUGGUGGUUCAAGCCCACCCAGGGACG
rnacentral:tRNA from 1 species